CGGAUUGUAGUCUGCAACUCGACUACAUGAAGCUGGAAUCGCUAGUAAUCGCGAAUCAGCAUGUCGCGGUGAAUACGUUCCCGGGUCUUGUACACACCGCCCGUCACACCAUGGGAGUCGGUAACGCCCGAAGUCAGUGACCCAACCGGAAGGAGGGAGCUGCCGAAGGCGGGACUGGUAACUGGGGUGAAGUCGUAACAAGGUAGC
rnacentral:rRNA from 1 species